UACAACUUACACGUAUUACGAUCUCCUGGCC
rnacentral:piRNA from 1 species